rnacentral:tRNA from 1 species
GCGACACUAGCUCAGUUGGUAGAGCGCAACCUUGCCAAGGUUGAGGUCACGAGGUUCGAACCUCGUGUGUCGCUCCA